rnacentral:rRNA from 1 species
UAACGCGUGGGAAUCUGCCCUUACGUACGGAAUAACUCAGGGAAACUUGAGCUAAUACCGUAUAAUGACUCCGGGCCAAAGAUUUAUCGCCUGAGGAUGAGCCCGCGUCGGAUUAGCUAGUUGGUGGGGUAAAGGGGCACCAAGGCGACGAUCCUUAGCUGGUCUGAGAGGAUGAUCAGCCACACUGGGACUGAAACACGGCCCAGACUCCUACGGGAGGCAGCAGUGGGGAAUAUUGGACAAUGGGCGAAAGCCUGAUCCAGCAAUGCCGCGUGAGUGAUGAAGGGCUUAGGGUUGU